UACGGGGGGAGCAAGCGUUGUUCGGAUUUACUGGGCGUAAAGGGCGCGUAGGCGGUCAGCACAAGUCAGUUGUGAAAUCUCCGGGCUUAACUCGGAAAGGUCAACUGAUACUGUGCGACUAGAGUGCGGAAGGGGCAACUGGAAUUCUCGGUGUAGCGGUGAAAUGCGUUGAUAUCAUCAGGAACACCGGAGGCGAAGGCGGCUCACUGGGGAUUUUCUGACGCUGAGGAACGAAAGCCAGGGGAGCGAACGGG
rnacentral:rRNA from 1 species